GAGAAGAGUUGCUCCUAGUACGAGAGGACCGGAGUGAACGAACCUCUGGUGUUCGGGUUGUUACGCCAGUAGCAUUGCCCGGUAGCUAUGUUCGGACAGGAUAACCGCUGAAAGCAUCUAAGCGGGAAGCCCCCUUCAAGAUAAGGUCUCUCUGAGAGCCGUGGAAGACCACCACGUUGAUAGGCCGGGUGUGGAAGCGCAGUAAUGUGUGAAGCUGA
rnacentral:rRNA from 1 species